GUAAACAUGAGGAUAUUUUUAAACUUUUUCCAGCCCCAGCGAUUAGGGCUCUUGAAGCCGGAGGCCCAGAGGUCAGUCUGGCCCUCACCCACAAAGAAAGCAACAGUCUCGGGCCCUCAGAGACCCCACCCCACCCACAUCUACCUACACCCACCCAGGACUCUAGCUGGGGCCUCGGGGCAGAAGUUCUUCCUAGGGUGUCACCUCCAGACACACUGCUGCGGCGGGAGGAUGCGUUUCUAAUAAUUUUGGCCAGAAACAAGAGGAGUCCUGUCCGAGGAGAGCCCGGCUGGCUGACUGGAAUCCCAAGACAUGCCAAGGUGUCCCUGGGAAAUGACAGGACACCCAGAUCUGCUGGGAGCAGAGUUCUCAUAGGGUCCCAGCUGAGCCCUGGAACUCCCCAGACCCCCUCUGCCACUCCAUCUCUGCGUCAGCCCAGCACCUGUGCCCUAUCCGGCUUUGGCCACCAUCUCCACCCUGGGGAGGGGGAGCAUAACCCCCUCCAGCCUGAGGUUGGCGCCAAGGUUUAGGAGCCAGCACAGAAGCCUCUGAGAGCCAUAAGGGUAGAAAAGGUUACCCGGUACUAAACCAGCCAGCCUCGGGGUGAUCUCAUCCACUUCCCAAGAUAAGCCCCCUCCCCCACCCUCUGGCCACUGGCCAACAGGGUAAGUCACGAGGGAGCUGGUGGAAGAGUGUGUGUGAGGGCUGGGGGAAGGAUUUCAACUUGGGGUCACACUGUACAUUCUGUUUUGUGAUCAAUUCCCCCCAACAUUUACAGUAUUGACAAUUAGCAGUUUCCUGUCAGAUAAACUAUAAAGAUCUUCCCCCAUCACUUUUUCUUUUCCUAAUUAUUUCUAAAGUCUGCCAGGAUGGACACAUCAGAAUCUCUUUGUCCAGCCCUUGAGGAGGACAUGUAAACAGUGUCCAGUUUCUCUUUCUUACAAACACCAGUGCCAUAACCAUUUUUGUUCAAAUCCUCUUACGCAAUUGCCUCUCUCUCUCUCUCCCUUUCUCUCUUUCUCUCUCCCUCUCUCUAUUUCUCACUCAGUUGAGAUAAAUUCUGCCUGGUAGCAGGUGGGAGGGCAGGCCUCACUGUGUGCCUGAGUAGUUCUGGGCCCUUCCCCAAGCCAGAGGUGCCAGGCCCAGGGCAGAGGCCAGUCCAGGGCCACAGGGUCAGGACAGUGGACAGGCUAUGGUCUGCUGGACUCUGCCUGCUCGAGGCGGGCUCCCCAAGCUUCCACCUGCUCUUGCCCACCCCCAGCCCCAAGGACUAGGCUGGCCUGGACACAGGGAAAGGCCAUAUACAGGGUAUCACAUGACCCAUGCGUGCACACAGCCCCCAAUCCCAGGCAUAGGCAGAGGUCCCAGCCUCAGGGUGGGGCCCCCACACUCCGUCCAAUUCACAUCUUGCCUAGUGCUCCCCAGCUCUUGCUAGAAUGCUUCCAUAGACCAACAGCUCACUCUCCCUCCUAAGUUGCUGCCCGGCCUUUGGGGAGCAGGUGGAGCACAUGCUUCUUAUCAAAUCAAUACCUAUUCGGUAGAAUCACAUGAUUGCUGAGGAAGGUUUGGAUUCAGACACCAGGGUUUCAAACUCGACUCUGCAUUUACUAUUUUUGUGACCUUGGGCACAACCUUUUACAUGCCCAGGCUCAGUUUCUUCAUCUGUAAAAUGGGUUAAUAAUACUUGAUCAUAGGGUUGCAUGAAGAUUAAAUGAGAUAAUACAUGUAAAGUGCUCAGCAAGGCUCACAGAUGUGACCUAGUUUAUGAUCACAAAUUAUCACAAAUUGAGUCCCUACUAUGUCCAGUUAACAGAGAGACUCCCUCACUGGAAGCAACUCAGAGUGGCUGAAGCACAGAAGUGGUAGAGGUAUGAGAUGGGGUUGAAGAGUGGGCAGGGCCAGGUCACACUCAGCCUUGCACAUCAUGAAGGGAUUGUGACAUUUUUCUGACUCCUUGGAAGCAGGGGAGGAUGGUGGGAGGCAGAAAUGGGAGGAUGUCACUGAAAGCUUUUAUUAUUUUUUUUAAUGAUUUGUUUGUUUGUUUGUUUGUUUGUUUUAGAGACAGGUCUCUAUUGCUCAGGCUGGAGUGCAGUGGCAUGAUCAUAGCUCACUGUAACCUCAAACUCCUGGGUUCAAGCGAUCCUUCUGCCUCAGCCUCCCAAGUGGCUGGAACUACAGGGGUGUGCGACCACUCCUGGCUCAUUUUGUUCAACAUUAUUUUGUUACAACAUUGAUGAAGAAAAAAAUCUAUUUCUGGCUGGGGCUACUGUCUGUGUGGAGUCUGUAGAGGACUUUCUCUGGGUACUCUGGUUUCUUCCCCCAUCCCAAAGAUGUGCAUGUUAGAUUAACUAGCUUGUCUGCAUGCUCCCAGUCUGCAUGAGUGUGAGUGUACUCAAGGCAAUGGCAUCCUGUCUAGGCCUGGUUCCCGCCUGGCGCCCUGAGCUGCUGGGAUAGGCUCCAGCCAUCCAUGACCUUGAACUGGAAUAACUGGAUAAAUAAUUCUAUUACUUGUUUUUAUUAAUCUUUCUUUCUUUCUUUUUUUUUUUUUUUUUUGAGAUGGAGUUUCACUCUUGUUGCCCACGCUGGAGUGCAAUGACACAAUCUUGGCUCACUGCAACCUCCGCCUCCUGGAUUCAAGAAAUUCUCCUGCCUCAGCCUCCUGAGCAGCUGGGAUUACAGGUGCCCACCACCAAGCCCGGCUAAUUUUUGUAUUUUUAGGAGAGACAGGGUUUCGCCAUGUUGGCCAGGCUGGUCUCAAAUCCCUGACCUCAGGUGAUCCACCUUCCCCAGCCUCCCAAAGUGCUGGGAUUACAGGUGUGAGCCACCACACCUGGCCUUGUUUCUAUUAGUCUUUCUUACACGUGUUUCAAUGUUUAAUAUGAGAAGCAUUUGGGUCUUUAUUUAGAAGUCUGAUGAUAUUUCUAUCACCAGAAAUAUGCUGUAGGAACUUAACUCUUGUUUAUGUCAAUUAGCCUAUGACAAAAUUGGUUUCCUUGUAUGUCAUUUUGCUUAAAGCUGCAAUUUCCAAGAACUACAUUAAGUGAGGACAUUAUAUAAAGACUUACUAUAUUCUAUUAGUUGUUGUCAGGCCUCUGAGCUCAAGCUAAGCCAUCAUAUCCCUUGUGACCUGCACCUAUACAUCCAGAUGGCCUGGAGCAACUGAAGAUCCAC
rnacentral:lncRNA from 10 species